UCUUAGGUAGUUUAACGGUAGAACUUUGAGCUGUUAACUCAAACAAUGUAGGUUCAAAUUUUACCCUAAGAG
rfam:Sphaeroforma arctica JP610 cont1.4423, whole genome shotgun sequence.